CAGACAUUUUGUUUUUAGCGAAUAUUCGCGUUUUUCAUUUUAGGCCAGUUUCCUCGGAAAGAUGAACCUCUCAAGUUUCUGGUGCUAAAGCAGUUUUCCGGCUUGGUUAUUUUGAGCCAGCAUAAAACUUUUUCAUAGGUGGUAGGUAAGUGCCCUACCAGUCACCUGAAGUAGCAUCUCUCAAUGUAUUUCCUGGAUCAGAUGACUCCGGCGGAAAAGAACGAGACAAGCAACAGAACAUGCAAAGCGGGCAAAAACGAGUCCGGAAGGCGCAAGAUGUAGGUUGGUUUCGCUUCCGGCAAAACAUUCGCAAGAAUGCUUCUGCCAUUGACCGGAGCUUGAGCCACAGCAACGAAGGAUGGCACAAGAUGGUCCGGAGAAUAAGGCUUAUUCCAGUGCUUCAACUUAACCUAAAAUUUACUACCUCCUGAUGGCAGCAGCUAGCAGUUCAGUAACAGCAGCAGCAUAAGUUGGAACAAGGUCGGCUCGGGCUUACGAUGGGAAAGUUGCAGCGCUCACCAACAAGAAUCAUCCAACACUGCAGGCUGGGAGGAUUGCGGCGUAAGUCCAGUCGUCCAAACAGAUGCAGCAACACAUCAAUGGAAACAACGACACAUGGAAGGGACCGAUCUCAUCGACCGGAAAAGGAGGGCAGUGGCAUCACAGGGGGACAUCCGCCUAGCUACCAUCAACAAAGUGGAUGCAAUUCUAUCCAUAUCCGGCACGAGUUUGUGAAUCAAAUUCCAAACCCGCUGCUCUAUCAAUGAUCAGUAUUAUUGAAUUUUAAUG